AAUCUUGCGCAAUGGGCGAAAGCCUGACGCAGCAACGCCGCGUGGGGGAUGAAGGACUUCGGGUUGUAAACCCCUUUCAGCAGGGACGAAACUGACGGUACCUGCAGAAGAAGCCCCGGCCAACUACGUGCCAGCAGCCGCGGUAACACGUAGGGGGCGAGCGUUGUCCGGAUUUAUUGGGCGUAAAGAGCUCGUAGGCGGCUCGGUAAGUCGGGUGUGAAAACUUAGGGCUCAACCCUGAGACGCCACUCGAUACUGCCGUGGCUAGAGUCCGGUAGGGGAGCGUGGAAUUCCUGGUGUAGCGGUGAAAUGCGCAGAUAUCAGGAGGAACACCAGCGGCGAAGGCGGCGCUCUGGGCCGGUACUGACGCUGAGGAGCGAAAGCGUGGGGAGCAAACA
rnacentral:rRNA from 1 species